rnacentral:rRNA from 1 species
AUACGGAGGAUCCGAGCGUUAUCCGGAUUUAUUGGGUUUAAAGGGUGCGCAGGCGGGAGAUUAAGUCGGCGGGGAAAUUUUGCCGCUCCACUGUAAAAAGGCCCUCGAAACUGGUUUCCUUUAGGGUAGAUGAAGGACGCGGGAUUUGUUGGGUAGCGGGUGAAUGCAUAGAUAUCACGAGGAACUCCGAUUGUGCAGGCAGCUUACUAAACUACUACUGACGCUCAGGCACGAAGGCGUGGGGAUCAAACAGGAUUAGAUACCCUGGUAGUCCACGCAGUAAACGAUGAUUACUAGCUGUUUGCGAUACAAUGUAAGCGGCUGAGCGAAAGCGUUAAGUAAUCCACCUGGGGAGUACGUUCGCAAGAAUGAAACUCAAAUGAAUUGACGGGG